rnacentral:rRNA from 1 species
AUUGAACGCUGGCGGCAGGCCUAACACAUGCAAGUCGAGCGGAUGAAGGGAGCUUGCUCCUGGAUUCAGCGGCGGACGGGUGAGUAAUGCCUAGGAAUCUGCCUGGUAGUGGGGGAUAACGUCCGGAAACGGGCGCUAAUAUCGCAUACGUCCUGAGGGAGAAAGUGGGGGAUCUUCGGACCUCACGCUAUCAGAUGAGCCUAGGUCGGAUUAGCUAGUUGGUGGGGUAAAGGCCUACCAAGGCGACGAUCCGUAACUGGUCUGAGAGGAUGAUCAGUCACACUGGAACUGAGACACGGUCCAGACUCCUACGUGAGGCAGCAGUGGGGAAUAUUGGACAAUGGGCGAAAGCCUGAUCCAGCCAUGCCGCGUGUGUGAAGAAGGUCUUCGGAUUGUAAAGCACUUUAAGUUGGGAGGAAGGGCAGUAAGUUAAUACCUUGCUGUUUUGACGUUACCAACAGAAUAAGCACCGGCUAACUUCGUG